rnacentral:rRNA from 1 species
UACAGAGGUCCCAAGCGUUGUUCGGGUUCACUGGGCGUAAAGGGUGCGUAGGCGGUGAGGUAAGUCGGAUGUGAAAUCUCCGAGCUCAACUCGGAAAUGGCAUUGGAAACUACCUUGCUCGAGGGUUGGAGGGGGGACUGGAAUGCUUGGUGUAGCAGUGAAAUGCGUAGAUAUCAAGCGGAACACCAGUGGCGAAGGCGAGUCCCUGGACAACUCCUGACACUGAGGCACGAAAGCUAGGGGAGCAAACAGG